GAGUUUGAUCCUGGCUCAGGACGAACGCUGGCGGCGUGCCUAACACAUGCAAGUCGAACGAACUAAUUUGACUGAUUCCUUCGGGAUGAAGAAUUUUUAGUUUAGUGGCGGACGGGUGAGAACGCGUGAGUAACCUGCCUCUGAGAGGGGAAUAACGUUCUGAAAAGAACGCUAAUACCGAUAACACAUAUUUGCCGCAUGACAGAUAUGUCAAAGAUUUUAUCGCUCGGAGAUGGACUCCGUCCGAUUAGUUAGUUGGUGAGGUAACGGCUCACCAAGACCGCGAUCGGUAGCCGGACUAGAGGUUGAACGGCCACAUUGGGACUGAGACACGGCCCAGACUCCUACGGGAGGCAGCAGGGGGGAUAUUGCGCAAUGGGGGCAACCCUGACGCAGCAACGCCGCGUGAAGGAUGAAGGUUUCGGAUUGUAAACUUCUUUUAUCAGGGACGAAUUUUGACGGUACCUGAUGAAUAAGCUCGGCUAACUACGUGCCAGCAGCCGCGGUAAUACGUAGGGAGCAAGCGUUGUCCGGAUUUACGGGUGUAAAGGGUGCGUAGGCGGCUUUUUAAGUCAGAUGUGAAAUCUAUGGGCUCAACCCUAAACUGCAUUUGAAACUAGAGAGCUUGAGUGAAGUAGAGGCAGGCGGAAUUCCCUGUGUGCGGUGAAAUGCGUAGAGAUAGGGAGGAACACCAGUGGCGAAGGCGGCCUGCUGGGCUUUACUGACGCUGAGGCACGAAAGCGUGGGUAGCAAACAGGAUUAGAUACCCUGGUAGUCCACCUGUAAACGAUGAUUACUAGGUGUGGGGGGACUGACCCCUUCCGUGCCGGAGUUAACACAUAAGUAAUCCACCUGGGG
rnacentral:rRNA from 1 species